GCUUCUGUGUAGCUCAGCUGGUGAGAGCCUGGUGCUGAUAACGCCAAGCUUGCAGGUUCGUUCCCUCUAUGGGGCA